UUUUAUCAUUAAUUUUGUGAGAUUUCUAAUAGUUUUUGACAGUUGACUGUUGUCUUUUAUCCACAGGCACUGAGUUUGUUUAUUUAUGAAUUGAAAAUCACUACACACAUUCUUUUUGUAUUUUAUGGAAAAAAAGACAAAGGAGAAGACAGCAGGGGAGAACAGUUCAGAGAAAGAGGAAAACAUUGUGAGCCGGGGCAGCGAGGCGCUAAUCCCUGCGAUUCAUACUGGUGGAGCAUGUGGCUGUUUGAACUCCUUGGCAACUUCGGCCUGGUCUCAGAGUGAAUUGUGAGGAAAAAGAACAAAAGAGUUCACUCUGAGUUCCUCUUGUCAGAGCAGGCGGGACUGCUUUGAGGUCAGCGUUAAAAGACGGUAAUGGGACACGGAACCGAGUAACAACAAAAAAAAUAAUAAUAAUAAUGUGCAAGGUCACUGGGAGCUUACCUAGCAUAAAGUGAGAUAAAACCACCCUUGACAAGACUUACAGCCUGGGUCCUGCCACAUACUGCUAAGUCACUUCUAACCAGCACUUGGCUGCUAGUCUCUGAAGAUAACACCUCAGCUACGUACUCUGAGAAUAUCUGUUCGCUUGGCGAACAGUAAUUGAGAUCUCACUGGGCCAGCCAGGACUAAUGCUGGAAGGUGCAGUAGGAACCUUUAUGUCCUUGCGCCAGCCAGUUUUGUGAGCGCAGAAGGGAUCACUGGUGAGUGCGUACUGGGAAUUGAUGCUAAACCCUGAAAGAUCAUAGAUCCAGCAAAAGAUAUGGGUGAGAUGCAGAAGUGCCAACAUGGUAACUAGAAAGAUGCAUAUAUGUUUAAACUCCUUGUUAUGAACACGUAUGUUAAAUCCUAAUCUCAUGAUGGCAUUCAGAGUAGGGGCCUUUGGGAAAUAAUUUAUGUCAGAUGGGGGAAGCACCCAUGAAUAAGGUCAAUGUCCUUAUAAAUAAGAGACUCCAAAGAAUGUUCUAGCCUUCUUUGUACCAUGUAAAGAUACAAGAAUAUGACAGUUUGCAACCCAGAAAAAGUCUCUCAUCAAAACCCAGCCAUGCUGACGUCCUGAUGUCAGACUUCUAGGUCUCAGAACUAUGGGAAAUAAGUUUGUUGUUUAUAGGCCAUUCAAUUUAUGGUAUUUUGUUAAAGUAGCCUGAACAGAGGAAGACACUCCUUCAAAGGAAAGACACAACCAACCGCUAGUCUUUCU
rnacentral:lncRNA from 1 species